rnacentral:lncRNA from 1 species
AUUUUAAUGUUUUAAAGCACGAAAAGGUAACUAUAAUUAGUAAAAUUCUACAUUAUAUUUCAGGAGAGCUACAGACGUGCAUUUUGAGUGUUCCUAAAAUAAAUAAAUGAGAUGGUGGAGUAAAGACCAGCAGAAAAAUACAACCACUCUGGAGGAACUUAGAGCAGAGACACCUGGAGAAGAACAACUUGAAGACACUCAAAUGUUCUGGCGUGCCUGAUCCAUGUUGCUACUGGUAACUCCCUUCAACCAGGAACGUGCCUGUUAUUAAACAAGUUAAUAUGGUUGCAGCGAGGAAAAACAACAUAAAGACCGUCGUGCAUAUUGGUAAGAGGAUGCUAGAGGGACUUCCUAUACUAUUUGGGCAGGUUGAGGGAAGAU